rnacentral:rRNA from 1 species
UGCAAGUGGUAGUGAUCCGAAGGUGACGACCCGCAAGGGAGCUUGCACAGGUGUUGCAUGGCUGUCGUCAGCUCGUGUCGUGAGGUGUUCGGUUAAGUCCGCUAACGAGCGCAACCCUCGCUGUAUGUUACAUGUGUCAUACAGGACCGCCGGUAUCAAGCCGGAGGAAGGUGGGGAUGACGUCAAGUCCGCAUGGCCUUUAUGUCCGGGGCUACACACACGCUACAAUGGUCGGUACAAUGGGUUGCUAAGCCGCGAGGUGGAGCCAAUCCCCCAAAGCCGGCCUCAGUUCAGAUUGCAGGCUGCAACUCGCCUGCAUGAAGCUGGAGUUGCUAGUAAACGCGCGUCAGCUAUAGUGCGUUGAAUACGUUCUCGGGCCUU